CACAGCAGCCAUAUAGAUAUCACCCUGCAGCCCAAGACUGGUUGCCCACUGUAGCUAAGCAGGGUUGAGCCUGGUCAGUACCUGGAUGGGAGACCUCCUGGGAAAACUAGGUUGCUGCUGGAA
ensembl:rRNA 5S_rRNA 5S ribosomal RNA